rnacentral:rRNA from 1 species
UUCGGACUGCAGGCUGCAACUCGCCUGCACGAAGCCGGAGCUGCUAGUAAUCGCGGAUCAGAAUGCCGCGGUGAAUGCGUUUCCGGGUCUUGUACACACCGCCCGUCACACCAUGGAAGUUGGGGGUGCCCAAAGCCGGCAGGGAAAUAUGCUGUCUAAGGCAAAACCAAUGACUGGGGUGAAGUCGUAACAAGGUAGC